GAGAACGGGGGAAGUUGUGGAUAAAAAGAAGGAAAAAAAAAAAAGUCCUUGAAAAAGCUAAGUUCCUAAUCUCCUCCCACCAGUCUCUGUGAAGGAUGACUUCAGCUCCUUUCUUAACUAAUUCUGUCACUGUAAAAUCCUACAGUCAUUCUUCCACACAUAAAGGACAAAUAAGCUCAAGAGGAGGAUCUAGAUGCUUUCAGUUUUAACUAUUCGCCAAUGGUGGAAAAGGCAGAAUGCCUAAGCUAUGUCUUUGUGGCCAAUAGGAUAGCCGUGUAUCUCCCACAUGACUGGCUGCCCCUGUCUUUUCACAUGGGCUGUAAUUUAGUUCAAUUCAGAACUGCAGAUAGUACAGCUUUCACAGGAUCAAGGGUGCCUGAGCACAAGUGGCUGAGUUCCGAGUGACUUUAUGAAGCCCUUCUCUGCCUUUCUCUUGCCUGAAAACGAGGAUUCUGCACCUGCAUCAGGGAGAGUCUGGCAGGAGCCUCGGCUGUGCUUCCAGGGACAAGGAACUAGAACAAAUAACCAUUCUGAAAUUGGAUUUGGCAAAACUACUGGGAUUUACUGACAAAUCAAUGAAGAAAACUGAAGGCAGUUUGACCUACAUCUUGGAUGACAGCUCCACUGAGGCUGAAGAAGCAUGUCAGGUCUCCAAAGAAGUAGAGAGCUGGGCUAGUUGUACCCCAAAAUUAGGACAUGAUUAUGGAAGCAUGUAUUUCUAAAUUUUGUCCAUGGAAAAAGCCUAGAGACAAUGAAAAUACUGGGCAAAAGUUGAGCUUGGCCGGUGGACAGUGAAGACAGUGUUGGAAGGCCCUGGCUCUGCAGUUUCUCAGUUAAGAUCUACUUCAACAUGCUGCCCCAGGAUCCGUUCCCUAACUGGGGGCAUAUCCCAUUUCCACAGCAGAUAGAAAAGCUUGAAUGUGUUCUUCAGUUUUAUCAUGGGUGAAAAAAGCAGUACAGCUAUCUUGUGAAUUCUGGCUAAAUUACUCACCAGUCAAAGCUAUGGAAUGAGCCAUAUUCCUCUCACGAGAUUGCCUCUGACUGUUCAACACCUCCUGCCAAGCCAUCCCUCGUUUGGAUUUUAUGAAUAAUUUUUUAAACUCAGGGUUUUACAGUGUUCAAAUGGUUUAUAAACCACUCUAUUUGUUCAAUAAAGGUGGAUGAAUCUGGUUUUCUACAACGCAAUAACACUUCAGGCCUCGGAAGGCUAACACUCCUGCAGAUGGAAAUGUAUGUGACUUGUUUUGCAUAUCAUGAUUUUAGUUUUACAAGACUUGAGUUUCUGGAAUAUUCACCUGUAAUUACUUUAAAAAUUAAAAUAUCUUAGGGCAUUUCGUCUUUAUAAUAUUCCGAAGACUUAAACAAGUUACUUAGUUAUAUGAAGAGAAAAACUGACCUAAAGGAAAAUGGACUGACACUUGCUGUAUAAUUAAAAAUGGACCAAGAACUGCCUCGAUAUGCAUUUUUUUGUUUUUGUUUUUUCGUAAACAACGAAGGGCUUUUACAUACACACAUGCCCUCCAGAUAACAUUCUUCCUAUGAUUCCUUAAUAUCCUUUUACUUAAAUAUAAAAAGAAACAGCUGCCAUUGAGUCCACUCUGACUCGUGAUAACCCCAUACGUGUCAGAACAGAACUGUGUUUCACAGGGUUUUCAAUGGCUGAUUUUUCAGAAGCAGAUCACCAGCCCUUUCUUCCAAGGCACAUUUGGGUGUACUCAAAUGUCCAAGCUUUUGCUUAGCAGCCAAGUGCUUAACCAUUUGCAGCACCCAGGGACUUUACUUAAACAUGCAAAAUCACCUAAAUCUUCUAUUCAAGCCACAUUAAACUAUAAUAUCCUUUAAUUGGUUAAGAAUUGGGGAUGAUCAGAAAUUAAGUAUUUCUAUAAAGAAAUUACCUAUAGGAAGCAGGACUAGAGACCUUCAUUAGAUAGGCUUGCUCCUUCUUCUCUGUCACCUAAUAUUAAGAAGACUCUGUGAACAAGGUUCUCUGGAGGGGGUACGUGCCACAUUUUGCUAAACCUUCUCCUGAUGAUUGGGCUGCAAAUUUUCCUUUACUGCCUCUUUUCUCAUCUUCUUUAUGCAUCCACUCCUCCUGCGGAUAUAUUUUAAAAAUUAUCAGUAACCAAAAUAUGAUUCACCCUUUGCCCAGUUUACCCAUAUCUUUUUUUCAUUUACUAUUUUCUCAGUAUUUGGAGUAUUCUGCCCAUGAGGCCAAUGCAGAGGCUAGCUCACUAGAAUAGGCAAAUCCUCCCUCCAGUCGAGCAUUCCCAACAGUUUGCAACCCUUUAUUACUUCUGAUUUUAUUGUUGUGAUUUUUUUUUUUCAACUUCCAGGUAUUGAUUUGCAACUCGUUACUAAUUAGAGCUGUAUGAUCUUGGGCCAGUUACUUAAAUGUCUUGUGUCUCAGUUUUCUUAUCUGUAGAAUGAGGAAAAUAAGAGUAUUUACCUCUUUAAGUUGUUGUCAUGGAUUGAAUUGUGUCCCCCCAAAAUAUCUGUCAAUGUGGCUAGGUCAUGACUCCCUUGUACGAUUGCAUGAUUGCCCACCAUUUUAUCUUCUGAUGUGAUUUCCCUGUGUUGUAAAUCCUAUAACUAUGAUGUAGUAAGGUGGAUUAGGGGCAGUUAUGCUGAUGAAGUCUACAAGAUUAGGUUGUGUCCUAAGCCAAACUCUUUUGAGAUAUAAAAGAGAGAAGAGAGCAGAGACAUGGAGACCUCAUACCACCAAGAAAGCAGUGCUGGGAGCAGAGCAUGCCCUUUAGACCUGAGGUUCCUGUGCUGAGAUACUCCCAGACCAAGGGAAGACUGAUGGCAAGGACCUUCCUCCAGAGCCAACAGAGAAAGAAAGACUUCCCCUGGAGCUGGAGCCCUGAAUUUGGACUUCUAGCCUACAAGACUGUGAGAGAAUAAAAUUCUCUUAGUUAAAGCCACCCACUUGUGGUAUUUCUGUUAUAGCAGCACUAGAUGCCUAAGACAGUUGUUAUGAAAAGGAAAGAAAAUAUUGCCAAUAAAAAUCUUGGUACAGAGUCUGGCACAUAAUAACAUUCAGUAAAUGUUAAUUGCUAUCAUUAUCAAGAUGGGCACAUGUGAUAAUGCUGAACUUUAGUAUGUGACUUCCCUAUGAACGCAGCCCUUUCCAUUACUGCCUUUGAAAAUAAAAAUAUUUCAGAUAAUGCAAUAAACAUAGAUAACAAUGUUGUUUACAAAGCAUUUUUGCAUGUAAUUGUUCUGUAAGUUCCACAGGGUAGGGACUUCUGACUUUCUAUCUUGAUUACUGUGAGGAGCACAGUGCGUGACACUGAGUUGUUUCUUGGUAGCUAUCUGUUCACUGAGUUAAUAACAAAAUGAUGUCAUUUUGUUCUUGCAAGACUGGGUCUUGUGAAGAAACGGUGAUGUAGUAAACAAUCUCUCAUGUUAGAGCCACAUGUGGAGCUGGAUUCUCUUCAAACAUCAGGUUCGUUUAUCUUCCUACAAAAUGUAUUUUAUUCUAGUAGCAAAGGGCAGGGGGGAGGGUUGGCAAGUAGGGUUGGCAGAACCAGGACUAAUGUCAGUGUCUGUAUCUAUUGUCCUUCAAAACUCGGAGAUGGAAAGGCAGGGGCAUAGAAAUUUUUUAAAAAAGCAAGGUCAAAAGAAAGAGAGGAGAAAAAAAAAAAGAAGGAAACUGUAAAGCAAAAGGAAGAGAAAAGAAAGGAAAGGAGAAAGGAAGAAAGAGAUUCACUAGAAAAAUAAUUAACCUGUCUUAAGAAUAUUUUUUGUUUUGUUUUUUAGGCUAUUUCCAUGCAACACAUACACAAAAACAGUUGUUAAAUAUCAGUAACAUAAGAAUUAGAGAGAACAAUGGCUUUGGCCAUGACAUUUUCACAACUUUUCUAUACGAUCAAUUCAAAAUCUUAAUUGUUACUUUAGGAUUCCGUUAAUUGCAUUUAUUUUUCCUUCAUGCAAAUCCGUAACGGAAUUGAUGCAACAAGAAAUAUUUAUUUAUUUAUUUAAGUCAUAUACACAGCAAACUAUCAACAACAACAACAACAAAAAAACACCACUAAAGGUAAGGUUUUUGUAACUACUUUGACCUGGUUCCAUUUGCGGCAGCUUCUCACAGCAACCACAACUGUCCUAUAGCUGAGAGCCUCUGCCCUGGAAGCAGCGUUCCGAACACCACUGCUGCAUUAAUUCAGGAACUUAAUAAGCAUCUGUCUCCCCAGUGGUGCCUCACUGUCUAACUGAACUACUUAUAUCCUGUAAAUUUAUAGUCUGUUUGACUUCUAGAAACAAAGCAGUCAGACUUGCCUGACCUCAUCAGUUUAUUCUUGGAAUAUUGAAACUACUCAACAACCUAUGCAUCUUUAUGCAAAAAAAAAAAAAAUUGGCACAGCAAGAGUUGUUAUUAUAGCCAUGUGAUGCAGGCAGUGAUCAGAAAUUGUUAGUCUUUCUGAAUGAACAUGAAAAUAUGCACAUAAUAUUUUAAAAAUGAAUGUGGCUAAUGGAUUACUACGUGCUGAAAUUACCACAGUCAUCUGUAGCAUUACGUCACUGGAUUCUUAAGUAUCAGUUGGAAAAUGCAUAUUCUAAGGAAAAUGAUUAACCGGGAGAGCCCGAGUCAGACUCUGUUAGAUAACUCGAGAGAUUGAGUGCAUUUAAGAGCCCCCCUUUUUUUUUUUAAUACAGGUCAUCCCCACCUUACGACAGGGCUCCAUUCCCACUACUGUCUCAUAAGGCAGUUCUGACAUAAGUCGAAUACCUCAUUUUGUUUUUAAUUUUCAUUAUUAUUGCCUUUUAUUAAGAGUACCUUUAAAAAUCUGAUUUUUAUUUGUCUUUGGGGGUUGACAUGAGAAUGAUAAUAUCAACAAAUUAUGCCCUGCAACACUGUAUGUAGUAACAAUAAGAUGUACAAAAAAAAAAAAAAAUGGUCAAAAGUGUGGUUCAUCAUAACUCGGAUGUGUCAUAAGUCAGGAUUAAAAAGAUUACCUGUGCGUUAAUUAUACUUUUAUGCCAAAGUUUCUUAGUUCUGCAAUAGUAUAUACCAACCAUGAGGGAUUGGUCUCAGGCAUAUUUGUGAACAAAAUUGUACCUUUUCAUGGACUGCAUCCUUGGUGACCUGCACAUUCUUGCUUCCAGACAUAUAGGUACUGUGUUCAUAUAAUGUUGUAGGAAGGUGAAAUAUUAUAAAAAAGACUCCAGUCAGUAUAAAAAAGACUCUGUCUUCUUCCCGUUUUACCAUUUGGAUAGUACAUCAGAACAACCCUCCCUUUAUUGUGCUUAGUGAAGGGAAGUAAUAACAAUGACUAACAUUUAUCAAAUAUUUACUGUGCGCUAAUACUAAUACUUACUAUCACUGUUCCAAUCACACAAACUGUCAGGUUUAAUCCAUACAACCACCUUGUGAUCUGAAUAUUGUCACCAUCCCCAAUUAAAACAAGGAGAAAUGUAGGCUAACUAACUUCCCAAAGGUGGCACAAUCAAUGAGUGGUUGAACUUGAUCUCAGGUAUUUGGCACCAGAAUAUUAUAACUGACCACUCCAAGUGUAAAUUCCUGGUUAGUGAAGACCUCUUCCUAAAAAAGGAAAUACUAAGCUGGACAUUUGAAAUGCCCUGCUUCUCCUACUUCCUGCACACAGUGUGAGGGACUAUAUGAAGGGGUCCGGGUAGAACAGAGGUCAGGUAUCUUUCAAAGGGGAAAUAACAAUAGUACUUGGUCCUUGAGAUAACUUCCUCUAUGACCACUCCAAGCGGUGAUGAAGAGACUGGUUGGGAGCCCAGGUUUGAAGGUUAGCUCUCCCCCCUCACUCCCUGUGGGACAUGGAGCAACUCUCUUAACUUCUGUGAGCUUCAGUUUCUUUGUUAUUUACUGAAGAUAGCAACAGCAUCUAUCUUCUACAUCUGAAUUGGUAAUAAAACUUUCUCAUUUAGUCUUCUCAAAAAAUAAUGCAAACAGAAUAUUAAGAGCCAAAUACCUUUUAAUCUAUUAGACAGGUGAGAAAACUAGGAAGUAAGAAAGUUUAAAUUUAAUUUAAUAGUUACUGAACUCCAAAUCCAUGCUUUUCCCCCUAAACCACAUUGCCUGCUACAAAGCACUUUUUCUAAAGUUCUAAAAACUUCAAUGGAUUGUUAGGAGAUAGUAUGCUCUAUGUCAGUAAAAAAGUUCAUACUUAGGGGGUAGACACCAUCUAGCAUUUAGAUGAAAUAGGGUAUAUGUGAGGGCCUUUUCUGAGCAUAAGUUUCCUUGACUUUAUGAUCCCUUGAUAUGUUGCCAUUCAUGGUUCUGACUUCUUGGAAGGUUUGAUUCUACUAUCAAAGUUCUUUAAUGUAAGCAGUGGCCAAUUGUUAAUAGGUUCUCUCUGUGGCUAGUUAGCUUAGUUGAUUAUUUUAUGCUUCUAAUUAUGUUGAAUUAUUGGGUCCAAAAAACCAAAAAAAAAAAAAAAAUCAAACCUAUUUCUGUUGAGUCAAUUCUGACUCACAGCAACCCUAUAGGACAGAGUAGAAUUGUCCCAUAGGGUUUCCAAGGGGCAGCUGGUGGAUUCGAACUGCUGAUCUUUUGGUUACCAGCUUGAGCGCUUAACCACUGUGCAACCAGGGCAUUAAGUCCAAGAAAACCAAAAAACCAAACCCACUGCUGUCGAGUGUGAUUCUGACUCAUAGCGACCCUACCGGACAGAGUAAAACUCCAUGAAAACUGCCCCAUAGAGUUUUCAUGGAGCACCUGGCAGAUUUGAACUGCCGACCUCUUGGUUAAUAGCAGUAGCACUUAACCACUAUGCCACCAGGGUUUCCUUAAGUCCAAGAGAACACGUUUAUUACACUGUAAGCCAGUAAGCUUUCUGAUCUUAGGUUAAAUCCUUAAACUCAUCAGGAUUCCUUAAAACACCAGAAUGAGUGGAUUAGCUACAAUCCAUUUUUACUGUUGGAAAAACAGCCCAAGAUACUUGGCGGCAAUGGGUUAAGGGUACUUUAAAGAGCCCUGGUUGUGCAGUGGUUAAAACACUUGGCUGCUAACUGAAAGUUCAGCUGUUCAAACUCACCAGGUGCAUCACAGGAGAAAGAUGUAGUAGUCUGCUUCUGUAAAGAUAACUGCCUUGGAAACCCUAUGGGGCGGUCUGACUCCGUCCCAUAGGGUUGUCAUGAGUUGGAAUCAACUCGAUAGCAAUGGGUUACGAGUACCUUAACCUCUGUGUGGUACAAAUGGUUAACAUGCUUAGUUGCUAACCAUCCAAAGGCACCUCAGAAGAAAGGCCCAGUGAUCUACUUCUGAAAAAUCAGCCAUUGAAAACCCAGUGGAGCACUGUUCUGCUCUGGCACAUGGGGUUGCGGUGAGUUGAAGUUGAUUCAAUGGCUACUGGGACAACAACAACAAAAGGACACCUUGGUAACCUUAUCUUAUUUCUGUAUCCAAAGGAUAGUAUUAAUCCUUUGGUAGAAGCAACUGCACUACCAAGAAGUUACAUUCAAUGGAAGGUCAUUUCAGUUUUAUUAGUCCUAAUGUGGAGUCUGCUUUCCUGAAAUCUGAACUAGGCCAGCAAGUUUAUGAAUUUAUACUUAAGCUACACCUUCCAUGCUAAUUUUUUUAAACUAAAUGUGUGAUUAAAUACAUAAACAUAAUACCUACCGUGGGGCACAGCUUUUAAUGUGAUUUACCAUUUUAAUACUAUCUGCUGCCUUUUGUGGGCAUUAUAAACAUGUGAGGCUGAAGGUUAAUUCAAGAAGAAACCAGAAUUCCCUUUGAACUGUUUAUUUCAACUUUAUAUUAUGCCUCCAUUGGUUAUGUAGAGUUUAUGUAAGCUUUUUUUGGAAGAAUCAAGUCCCUUUUGAGAGCUUUAUUUUCUUUAAUUUGCAUUAGUUUUUAUAAAUAAAUGUCCUUGCUAUUUUUAUACUCAAAGACCACACUCAGUUAUCAUUUCAAAUAAACAAGAAAACAACAAUUUGAAUAAAUUAGAGAAGAGAGGUCUGCACAUAUACAGGGCUUAACCACUUGCCAAUAUGUGGUGGCAUAAACUUUGCUCCAAUUUUUAAGGGAGGUGAAAGCAAGGUCUUCAGGUAAAAAACAUAAAGGGAGGGGUGGUGGGGAGGGCCUAGAUAAACUCCUGUGGAGAUUUUCAAGUAAAUGAGACGUGUAGUGGCUCAUGAUACCAGUCAUAACAUCCAACAACAUAUGAUUUCAACUUCUAAUUCUGCCGUGAUGGAGUAACUGCUAUUGAGCUUACUUACUGCCCCACCACCUGCCACCCCAAACAAUCUUGAAACUGAAUAAAAUAUGCAAGGGAACUCUUUUAUGGCAUUGAACAACAGAAAGCAGAUCUUUGAAACAAGAUAACAUGAACUCCAUGUGCAAUCCAGACUGUAGUACCAGGAGAUAGAGCUCAAGUAGAACAGAGCAGUCUAUUCUAUGGAACAGGCUGAGAUUGGAGUCUUGGAAUGAAAGGGCACAUGGAAUUUAUGGGGCAAAAAAUCAGAGAGGAGGGAGCUACCCUGAAGUCUCAAUGGGGCUUCAGAUAGUUGGCUGGGAGCUGGUUUGCACACCUGCUGGUCAGGAUUCCACAGACCAAGCUCAGUGUGGCUACUGGGGGCAGAAAGCCAAUGAAGACACUAGAUGUUGUACAGGGCAGAGAGACAUGAAAUGUUGGCCCAGCCAGAGUGAACUAACCUGGCUGAGCACCUCGAACAUUUAGUUGAGACCCCAGAAAGACCACACCUUAAGAGUAAAGAUCUCUCUCUCUCAAGUAAGGGCUGAACCCUAGGCCAAGGUCAAAAUCAAGGUUCAAGAUCUUGACUCAGUAUAACUCAUUACUUACUUACAUUUAUAUAGUUCUCAUCAUUUUAAUACCCAUUUUUCACUUUUGAUUCCUUUGAUAAUUAAUUCAUCAUGUAUUUAAUAAGCACCUAUUUUUUGCAUCAGGGCACUGUGGUAGGGACUACUGAGUUCCUGAGUGUAUAAAAAAUAUCAUGCUAGGAUAGGGUUGCUACGAGUUGGAAUUGACUUGAAGGCAGUGGGUUUGGGUUUGGUUUGGUUGGGGUUUGUCUUCUUUUCAUUCAUUUAUCCACUCUCUGUCCAUGAAGACUGAAAGCAAUUUCCCUGAGCUACCUCUCUGUACUCCAACCUGAAUAUCUUUAGUCUGAGAUCACUGCUUGCUAACUGGCAUCAAUGCAGCAGUCAUAAUGGCAGCAGGCAGAUUCUUUAGCUAUGACCAACAAGGAAAUAGCCAAUGAACCAUCAGUGAGUAGAUCAGGCAUUGCUUGUUAUGUGGAUAUCCCACAACUUAUUUCACUACCAUUAUGGAUCACACACGGAAACCCUGGUGGCGUAGUGGUUAAGUGUUACGGCUGCUAACCAAAGGGUCAGCAGUUUGAAUCCGCCAGGUGCUCCUUGGAAACUCUAUGGGGCAGUUCUACUCUGUCCUAUAGGGUCACUAUGAGUCGGAGUCGACUCAACGGCAAUGGGUUUGGUUUUUUUUGUUUUUAUGGAUCACGCACACACACACAAAAAGACAGUGAGCAUUUUCCUCUCUUGAAGUUAUGAAAUGAGAAAUAUCAACCAGUAGUUAACACCAUGCCGACUUUAAAACAACAUAAGCAUGCUGACAUUUUGAGUUAACUAAAAAAAAAUUAUUAUAGGAGUCCCUGGAUGGUACAAAUGGUUAAAUGUUUGGCUACCAACCAAAAGGUAGGAGGUUCAAAUCCACCUGGAAGCACCUUGGAAGAAAGGGCUGGUGUUCUGUUUCCAAACAAUCAAAGUCAUUCAAAAUCCUACUCUGACACACAAGAGGUCUCCACGAGUGGGAAUCUACUGGACAGAAACUGUUUUUAUUUUGUUUUGUUUUCCCUAAAUAUUAUAGUCAUUAAAGGGCUUUUAUUAAGCUGAUGUAUUCAGCAGUUUAUAGUUAUUUGGCAUAUUCUCUCAUUGUGUACAGACAUAAAAAAUAACAUUUUUCCUUGAUGAGUUUAAAGUGUAACUCACACCUCACAAUGAUCACCUUACACUCUCUAAAUAUAUUGAAAUCAAAUAGGUCACCAUUUUACAGGUGGGAAAACUGAGAAGUAUUCUGCUAUAAGUAAUCAAAUCUAGAUUUCUCUGGUUCUGCCUAACAAUGCACUGGCUUCCAGAGAAGCAGCUGCUUGAAUUUAGAUUUGAAAAGAGCUAUUUUUUAUUUUAUUUUAUUUUCUUGGAGGCUUAUAUUCAACUGUUGGAGCACUGGUGGCACAGUGGUUAAGAGCUCAGCUGCAACCAAAAGGUCCCAUCAGCCACUCCUUGGAAAACCUAUGGGGCAGUUCUACUCUGUCCUCUAGGGUCACUACAAGUCAGAAUGGACUCAAGGGCAAAAGGGUAAAAGGGUCUUCGUGUACAAGCUUCAUCCUUGCUAAUGUAUCAAGUAGAUUUUGACAGAAUAUGGGAUGAAAUUUCAGAAGUAUUGAAGUUUACUAGCUUUUAACUUAAUUAUGAUGGUAAGAUUUAGGGUGGGGUGCCCCUUAAAAUGCUGAAAAUACAGGUGAUACAUUUCCAUAAAAGAAUAAUAAAUCUAAAAGUGCUUAGAAAUCAAGUGAAUUAAGAGUAUUCAUUACCUGAAAAAAGCAUGUCUAUUUUAUUACAACAGUUCCCAAAUGUCUACCAAACAUUGAUCAUUUCAUCUUCUUUACUGAGAUUUGCAGAUUAUAAGAUUUCCAUUAUAUACAUACAUUGAAUCACAAGAAAUCCUAACUUCUGUGAAUUGCAGUAUCAUUUCAGCCCUAUAAUUUAAUCAUAAACCUAAGGUUUAAAUUUGGUAACCUAAAAUUAAUCAGUGAUCAUUUCUGAAACAAUCUAUCCGUGAAGAAACCCAGAGACUUUUGCUUCUUGGGAUUAAUGACAUAAGGGAUGCAAUUAAAGACUUCUCUUUUGCUUUGGAAACCAGUGACCUAAAGAACUCUGGCAAUGUGGAUGCCGUAUAACAAAGAAGAAUACCAACAUUGAGGACUGAAAAGGAAAAUUACAUAUUAGCUACAGUGGCCUCCAACCAGGGAGUGAUUCUCCCCCAGAAGACCCUUGGCAAUACCUGGAGACAUUUUUUGUUUGUCACACGUCGGUGUGCACAUGACAUCUAGUAAGUCGAUGCCAGGUAUGCUGUCAAGCAUCCUACAAUGCACAGGAAAACGCUCUGCAACAAAUAAUCAUCCAUCCCAACAUGUCAGUAUUGUAGAGAUUAAGAAACUCUGAAUAAAAUGAGUUUUAGUAAUAGUCAAAACUUUUAAAAAGUAGCCAAGUGUUUGCAAUAAAUUACUAAGUCUUCUUUGGUGGUGAUCAAAGAAUGUUACCAUAUGUGCUAUGUAGGUUAGGCAUUUUGGAAUCUUCCUUGAUUGAAAUCAAAGAGUACUCUGAACAUGAAGAUUUAGAUAGCAUGUUAGCUGUGGCCAAGGUACCACAGCUUAGGACUGUAUUUAACAUUAAAUAUUAUGUAAAAUUUAAAAAAAUCAAAUCUUGGGGCUCUCUAUGAUGAACUUUAAAUGUAAAUUAUACCCUUAUGAUUUGAUUUCCCCAACUAACAUGCUUUAGGUGGCCACAACUUCCCUAGAAAGUGCCCGGAAAUCAAUGCAGACUAACCAUGCUAAAAGUAAAUUAUGUUAAUUGACAGGUUAGAAAUAGAUUCUUGCAAAGUAUGGGCCCUGUAAUGCUGCCACCUGAGCAUGUUGCUUGAUAAUGUGCCAAAAGCGGUGUCCUACUCAAUGUCUGUUGGCGAAAACAGUGUUAUUGACAAUUACUGCUGCCUUUCCUUGAGGAAACCCUGGUGGCGUAGUGGUUAAGAGCUAUGGAUGCUAACCCAAAGGUCAGCAGUUCGAAUUCACCAGGUGCUCCUUGGAAACCUCAUGGGGCAGUUCUACUCUGUCCUAUAGGGCUGGUAUGUAUGAGUUGGAAUCGACUUGACGGCAAUGGGUUUUCUUGGUUUUUCCGUUGAGCGCAGGCGCAAAUGGUCAAUGUGCUCAGCUACUAACAGAAAGGUUGGAGGUUCAAGUCCACCCAGAGGUGCCUCAGAAAAAAAAGGCCUGGCGAUCUACUUUCCAAAAAUCAGCAUUGAUAACACUAGAGAGCACAGCUCUACUCUGACACAUAUGAGGUCACCAUGAGUCAGAAUCGAUUCAACUGCAACGAGGAUUCCCUGAGAACAAUUAGAUAUUACCUAUUACCCCCAGAUCAAGUAUUGCACAAGUCAAAACAAAGCCAAUGGCCUUAACAACAUUGUGGAAAUUUUUGAAAAACUGCUCUAAAUUUACGCAGACUGAACGAACUGAUAUUGAUGCUGAAGAUAAUAGUAGAGACAUGAGUAGAGACAUGAAAUCCCUGUGAACUACACACAGCUUAUGAAUACUGCUGAGGGAGGAGCAAGGUCAACUUUUUUUUUUUUCCUGGACUGGAUGUGUACAUCCUUGUUUUUCUUUUGAGGAACAGAUUUUCAAGGGCUGAGCUAAAAUGAUAACUUGCUACUCAAUAAUAUAUUUUGAUUCACAGAAAACCAGCUAUUCAGUCAUUUUGAUAAAUUACUGUCUCACUCUCUAAAUAUGAAGUGUGAAUAGUAAUGCGGCUUUUCCCAGAUAAUUCGAGGGCGAAAGGCGUUGCAUAAACACAUAGUAUUUAUCAGGAGAUUGACUUUCUAACUUCCAUGGUGAUUUCAUCUGGCUUAGCUAAUGGCUUUUCCAUUCUGGCUGCAUAGCCAGUAGAAGUGUGUUGGACCCUAUAGGACCACCCAAACUGGAACAACCGAAAGGGUUCAAACCACCAAGGCACUGUGCCAGAAUCCUUCUGAGGACCCUGUGGGCUGUGUUGAUUAAUCAUCUUCCGCUCCUAAGGCUUUAUAUUUAGUAUCAAAUGUUUUAAAUAAUCUCUUUCUGAAGUGAUUCCAAAACUCAUGCCAGCUCUAAAAUGCUGUGAUUCUGUACAAGUAACAUUGUUUCUCUUUUUCACAGCACACUUUCUCCCUUCUAGCAGACACUGCCAGAUGAAUCACUUCCUGAUAUAUCAUCAGUGCCAUAAUAGAAAUUGCCCUGUCGCCAUAAAUUCAAACAGAAGAACUUCAUUCAGGGUAGUAUCCACAGGAUCAUAGCUAAAAAGAAGGGACUUUUGAAAGACAUUUAAACACAGUGGUGUGAAGUGUUAGAAGACAGUUAAACAUAAUGAAUCUGUUACCUCUUUUUAAAAUAUUUACGGAGCCCUGGUUGCGCAGUGGUUAAGCAUUCGGCUACUAACCAAAAGGCUGGGAGUUCAAACCCACCAGCUGCUCCUUGGAAACCCUAUGAGGCAGUUCUACUCUGUCCUAUAGGGUCGCUAUGAGUCGGGUGAGUUAAUUUGAGAGUUAAUUUGUGAAAGAACACAUUAAGGGAGUUGCAACAAUAAAAACUGGAGUUAUUUAUAACUAUUAUUUCUAAUUUAUGGUUAUUCUUUUCUAGAGCAAUUUAGGCAGUCUAGGAAACUCUCAACAGUUACUGAAUUCCAUUCUAUCUGUAUUCUUAGGUCAGAACCUAAAGAUACUUUCAUGAUUUCUUUAAGAAGAAUUUACAAAACCUUUCACCCUCAAAGAUGGAUUUUAUUCUUACACUUGCAUUGGGGAAUGAAGGCUAUUGCAUAUAUUUCUAAAUAACUUCUCAUUAAAAUUACAUUCUGCUCGACAAUAAAAAUAAAAAAGAACGACAAGAGAAGAAAGGAACAGAAAGGGAGGGUGAAAAGGAAGAAAAGAAAGCAGCAGCCAUUCAAAAUAUUCAUGGACUGCAGAAAAAAUCUGAAGGGCUCUGCUUUUAAUACUCAACAUCUGUCUUUAAAAACAUAUCAAUCACAUGAUCACUAACAGCUGUUGCAUUAGACUGUUAAUCAACCAUGAUUUUCAAAAGGAAGGAAGAAUGCUGUUGGAUCAGUUGAUGGAAAGUUAUUGCUUAGAAUGCACCAGCUUGGUACUGGCAACAGGAUUCAAAAUUUAAAGAGACAAAACUUUAUCAAGGACCGUAAACACUAUUCAUGUGUAAAGUGCUAGGCUCUGAACAGCAUAAAUGGUCCCACAUGUUUGGAAGCCUGAAGAAAACAGUGCAGGUUAUGACAUGUAUUAAAACUGAUACAUUUAAUGUGAUAUGAAGUAUAUUAAAAAAAAAAAAAGUCCCUAUAAUCAUGACUAGGCAGCCAAACACGAAAGCAUCUUAUAUUUUUAUAAUACUAAGCAUCGAACAGGAUGGAUCCUGUAAGUUUUAAGGGCUUGUUCCUUCCUAGGAAUAUGUCACUUCCAUGGAUGGUAUCAGACAUUAAAAAUUCAUCAGGGAGUGAGGACAUUAAGAAAGUGGUAAUUUUACAUGUAUUAAAGAAGAAGUUACUCUUCCUGUUUUGAAUUAACUUCAAGCUUUCCUGGAGGCAGCUUGUCAGGUCUUUGCCCUUUACCUUUGCAGACUGAGAUUUAAUGGCAAAAAGCUAAGCAUUCUUGUGUUGAAAUAGAGCUUAUUGUUUCAAAAUUAAAGAAAAAAAAUGUAUUUACACCCAGGACAGGAUAUUUUCUAACUCGUCACCAUUUGCUGCUAGAGUUGGUCACAGAGGAAUCACUGGCGUCCAAUUAGAUUGAAAAAGAAUGAAAUUUACAUGUGACUCUGUCUAGCAAAAUAACUCUAUUUAUACCACUCCAGGAAUGAGUAAAAUAGGGGAGUUUCCCCCAGUCUUGGUGGUUUCGCAUGUGAUAGCUAAAAUAAAUCGCAACUGAAUUCCCUUUGAAGGGUAGAUUCGCAGUCAAUAAGAGUUCCCCUUAAAUAACAAAAACGGCAAAUUGAUCUUUCCCUUGUUUGUCAUAAAUAGAAGGCCUAGAAGAAUUAUAGGCAUGAAUAUGGCUUGGUACUUAAUUUCUAUGUUAUAAUAGGAAAUUAUUUCUUUAUAAUGACAUGAAAUUAUGUGCUAUAAGAUUUAAGAGAGGCACCAUGAUGGUCAUAGUCUAGAGAACAAUGCUAAUUUAUUGAAGACAUGUACCUCUAUUCUAUAUUCAAAUAUUCUACAUUCAAAACAAUGGUAUACAAAAAUGCACAAAGCCAUGGUCCUUGCUUUCUUAGCAUGCAGUCAUAAAAGAGACACAGAACAGCUGCUACUGGGCUGCAAAAGCAAAUCAAGAGGAGAAAACAUUACCUCUACCUUGGGGGAAGUGGGACAAAAAUCUGAAAAAGCUUUAUUGAAGGAGGGAUAUUUGUCCUAGGCUUGGUGGUAUGUGUGCAGAAGAGCACCCUAAGUAAAGGAAAACACAUAGCCAGUACCAAGUUAGGUAACCAGAGUAGCGCUCUGAUCCAGAAAAUGAUAGGGAGAGGUGGGUGAGGAAACUGAAUGCCUGAAUUGGAGUUGGGUUAUGAAUAGCCUUGAAUGCCAAGCUUACAUAGUUGUAAAUUCUCUCUCUCUCUCUUUUUUUUUUUUUUUUUUGGUAAUAUUGAGACUCCAUCUGAAUAAAUCAUUUUCAAACUCUCCUCUGAGAAGUCAUAGGAUUUACAUGAAAAUUUGUUACAGACUUCAGUGUGUGUGAAAUGAGAAGAGGAAUGAGUUCCAGAAUCACAAUCCCAAUUCAGAUUUCAGCCAGAUACAAGCCUUAUUUACUGCAAAAUGGUAUUGAAGAAUGGGAUCCACUAUUUAAGAAAAAAAUUAAUAAAUGAAAGAUGGGAGAAGAUUCAAAAUCACUGUAUUAAAUACUUUGAAGUAGGAAAGCCCCAGGGGCACACUGUUUCAAUCGGUUGGUUGGUUGGUUGGUUAGUUGUUUCUGAAAGCCAUUGUGGCAGUUGUAUAAAGAAUGGAUUUAAGACCACUUGUGAAGUCAAUACAACAAUUAAUGAGAGAGAUGAUGUUGUUGUUAGGUGCCAUCAAGUCGGUUCCAACUCGUAACAGUCCUAUGUACAACAGCGCAAAACACUGUCUGGUCGUGCACGACCCUCACAAUCGUUGCUAUGCUUGAGCCCAUUGUUGCAUCCACUGUGGCCAAUCCAUCUCACUGAGGGUCUUCCUCGUUUUCACUGACCUCCUACUUUAGCAAGCAUGAUGUCCUUCUUCAGGGACUGCUCCUUCCUAAUAACCUGGCCAAAGUAAGUGAGACGCAGUCUCUCCAUCCUUGCUUCUAAGGAACAUUCUGGCUGUACUUCUUCCCAGACGGAUUUUUCCUUCUUUUGGCAGUCCUUGGUCUAUUCAGUAUUCUUCACCAGCACCAUAAGUCAAAGGCAUCAAUUCUUCUUCAGUCUUCCUUAUUCAUUGUCCAGCUUUCGUAUGCACAUGAGGCGAUUGAACACUUCACAGCUUGGGUCAGGAGCACCUUAGUCCUUAAAGUGUUAUCUUUGCUUUUCAACACUUUAAAGAGGUCUUUUGCAGCAGAUUUGUCCAAUGCAAUGCAUCAUUUGAUUUCUUGACAGUUGCUUCCAUGAGAGAUGAUAGAAGCUGCAAACAAGCCAAUUGAAAAUGAGAGGACAAGGAGAAAUUUUAGAGCUAAAUCAAAAAUAGACUAGUUAGCACUUGGUAGCAAAUGGGAAGGGGGAGGUGUAUGGCAGGGCUACUAAACUGUGGUCUAUGGACCAGCAUCAUCAGUAUCGCCUGAGAGUCUCAGCCCCACCCCAGACUUGCUGAAUCAGAAUCACUGGAAUGAGGGUGAGAUGCAAAAAUCUGUAUUAUAACAAGCCCAUCAGAUGGCUUAUAUGCAUGCUAAAGUGUAAACAGUCCCUGAGUGGUGCAAAUGAUUUAUGCUAUAAGUUGGAAUUGACUAGACAGCAAUGUUUUUUUUCCUUACUAACCUAAGGGUUCAUGGUUCAAACUCCAAGUGGCACUGCAGAAGAAAGACCUGGCAAUCUGCUUCCUUAAACAUUGCAGCUAAGAAAACCCUAUGGAACAAUUCUGCUCUGUAACACAUGGGGUCACCAUGAAUCAGAAUCAACUAGAUACUAAAAGGUUUGAUUUUGUUUUGGCAUUAAAAUUGUAGAUGCACUGGUAUAGAGGAUGAGCCAACAUUCCUAGUUUGGUGAAUAGAGUGAAUGGUGCUUGAAAAUGAGAAAGAUAUGUUUGGAGACCCAUAUGAUUGUUUUGAUUUUGGAUGAGUUGAAUUCGACAUUAUUAAGGGCAGUCAGAUGGAUAUUUCAAAAUUUGGGUCUAGAGCUCAAGACAGGAGUUGAGAUGGGAUGUUGGUUAAGGUAAUCCAUGCUGUUAAAGAGAUAACCUCAUAAAUUUCAGUUUCUUAACCUGUAAACAUUUAAUUUUUGUUCAUGUAAAGUCACAGCCAGGCGUUCCAGAUUGGUAGGUAGCAGGUUUCUCCUACUGGUUGCUUCGCCAGUGUCAAAAGCAGCUCAUCACUGGUGUAGAUUAUCCAACAGGCAACUUAAGCAUGGUGUUUACCUUGCUUACCAACUCACCUAUACUGAGCAAUUUCACAUUUUUUCACCACAUCAGAAACUCUGCUACUUGGUAUUGUUGGUAUCUGUCUCUCUCCCAACUCCAUAGCACCUUCCUCCUACAGAAUCAAAGUCUCCGCACAUUUACAACCCCUGACAGGGGCAGGUGACCCAUAAGCAAGGUAAUCAUGGACUUACUUGUGCUUACUUACUAAUCUGUAGUGAACAAUUUCACAUCAAAGAUGUGGUGAAACCCAUGUGAAAUUGUUCACUAAGAUGAUCUGGUAAACGAGGCAAGUACAUGCUUACCUUGCCUGUUGGAUAAUCUGCCCUUGGCGUUGUCAUCAAGCUGUAGCACAGGGAGAGCAUGAAGGGUUAUGCAGUGAAUUACUUAAUAUGGCCCUUCUAGCCAUGGUCUUUGUAACUCCCACCAAAUGACUGGAUGAGGAUUAUGCAAAUGAGGUGCUUGUGGCCCACCAAGGAGAUUGGAUAGCUUGCAAGUAAUGUAAAUAAGGUACGUGACACCCUUGUAGGGAUACGACCAUGUGAAUAAGGUGCAUGGACCCCUAAUGAGGUAAUUGGUCAGUUUUGCCAUCCUGCUGGGCUUAAAAGAGCAGUCAAUCUCAGAGCAGAGGAGAAUUCCAACACCACCAAGAGAGAGGAGCCAGGAGUGCGGCACAUUUUUGAACCUGGGAUCCCUGCACUGAGAAUCUCCCAGGUCCAGUAGACAGAGAGAGGAGCUGUAACACAGAAGACAGCAAGAGUUAGCAGUGCAAAAUGGCUGAGAGGGGCUUCCCUGCCCACAGAAGACAAUAGGUGAGAGCCCUCGGGCACAAAGCUUACUGAUUGAGUGGGAUGCCUCUGGGCACUUAUUGGCAGAACUAAAAGAACUUUGUAACACUUGCCCAAGCAGGGCAGAGGCUGGGCCAAGGAGCCAAGAAGCUGGGGGGCUAGAGAGAGGUGUGCCUGUGAGCACAGCUGAGAAGAGGCUAUCCUCAUGGAAGAACUGUAUUCCAAGUGUUCCUGAACCUGAUUUGGAACCUAUUACUUCAGGCUGCUAACCAAAAGGUCAGCAGUUCGAAUCCACCAGCUAUUCCUUGGAAACCCCGUGGGGCAGUUCUACUCUGCCCUAUAGGGUCCUUAUAAGUCUGAAUCAAUUCAACAGCACACAGCAACACAGUACUUACAGGUGAUAGUCAUUAUUUUUUGAGCCAAUUGGUUAUUUAGCUACAAGGUGAACUCCGGAGUUAUUUUCAGUUCAAGGUCUAAAGAAUAUCUCAGGGCAAUAGUCUCGGAGAGUCUUCCAAUCUCCACAGGUCCAGUGGGUCUGGUUAUCUUUUUAUUUAUUUUUUUUAAGGAAUUUAAGAUUCUGUUCCACAUUUUUGUCCCAUUCUAUAGGGUCCGUCUAUUGUGGUCCUAUUAGAAUGGUAGGUAAGGGCAACUGGGCACCAUCUAGUUCUUCUAGUCUCAGGGUAGAUGAGGCCGUGGUUCCUGUAGACUAUUUGUCCUGUAGACUAAUUACUUCUUUGAGUCUUUGGUUUCAUUCUUUCUUUGAACAAGUAGACACCAGCAGUUGCAUAGUGUUGGCCACUCUUGACAGCAAUUUGGAUAUCUGAAGUAAAUAAAGUGUUUUCUGAAAUCAUGGGAAAGCACAGAAUUGUCCAAGAAAUGUGCAUUUGUCAAUAAGCUGCAUACAUAAUGUAGUCAGAUGUGAGUCAAGAGAUGAGGCAUAAAAUGUGAGUCAAGUGAUGAGACAUAUUACAUAAGCAUAAACAAUAAAUUCACAACGCUUAAAAAAACAGGAAACCCUGAUGGCAUAGUGGUUAAGAACUAUGGCUGCUAAUCAAAAAGUCAACAGUUCGAACCCACCAGGUGCUCCUUGGAAACUCUAUGGGACAGUCCUACUCUGUCCUGUAGGGUCACUAUGAGCCAGAAUUGGAUUGAUGGCAAAGAGUUUGGUUUUGGGUUUUUUUCAAAAAGAAGCGUAGAAACUUGGGAAAAUAAAAGUAAAGCCAGUCAUAUUCAUUUUAACAGAUUUGCUUUAGUACUCUUUAGUGGGAUAUCUUGUUUACCUAGAGACUUCUUAUAGUUUGUUGAGAUUGAAGGCAAUACAUCUAACCUACAACAUAUUCUUAUCCUAAAAAGUGAUUGAUUGAAAAAUAAAAAAAAAACGCAGACUGCUUUCCUAAAUAGAUACAAUAUUUCUUUGAGAUAUUCUUUUUUAUAGUUUUCCUCUUACAUUAUCUCAUUCAUCUUUCUUUUUUAUCACAACAUACUAGUUAGCAAGGACAGUAGAUGAUUUGAAAGGUGAGAAAAUAGAGGAUUAGCCAAAAAAGUGUUUAUCCGAAGGCGCAAGAUAAGUGAAAAUCAGUCGUAUUCAUAUAAAAGGGGAUUGAGAUUUCCAGUGCUGAUCCAAUUUGAUAGCUGGAAACCAUGACGCACAGAACAUUAUGUUUUCUUCUUUAGAAAGCAUUCAGCUUAGUGGUGAGCAGGGAGCUAAGGAACCUAGAAGAACUCCCUGGUAUAGUAUACAGAGCAUCUUCAUUUAAUGUCUCUCAUAAUUGCUGGCUCAUGUAUUCCCCACUGGCAUUCUCCCACCACUCUCACCCUUCCCUCAGCGGGCCUUGGAGGGGCUUCCAGAAACUCACAGAGUUUUGCCAGCACAUUUGAAAACAACCGAACAAGAGAGGAAAACAGGUGACAAAAAAUGCGAGUUAGAUUUUGGAAAAUAAGUUGGAAAUGUUUUCUCAACAGCUUUCCCUUGUAAUCUAGAUGUCCAAAGUAGUUUAUUCCAUCUAUUUUUUGAAAAUUCUCCCUUUCAAAAACCUCUCUGAUACAUGGGAUAAUAAUAUGACCUAUUUAGUGUGAGAGUUGUAAGGUUUAAAAGAAAGAAGAACUGAGAUAAGACAUGAUAGAACACAGAUGAACCUUGAAAACAUUAUGCCGGGUGAAGUUAAGUCAAUCACAAAAGGACAAACAUUGUAUAAUCUCACUGAUACGAAAUACCUAGAAUAGGCAAAUGGAUAGAGAUUGAAGUUGAAUAAUGGUUACCAAGGGUGUGAGGGAGGGGGACAAAGGGAGUCAUUGUUUACGAAGCAUUGAGUGUCUGUUUAUGGGGAUGGAAAAUGUGACAACAGGUACUGAUGAUGAUUGCACGACAUGAUUGGUGAUUGAUGUGGUUGGUAACACAAAGUUGUACACUUGAAAAAAUAUUGAAUUGACAAAUGUUGUGUUAUCUAUAGUUUUACAAUAAUCAUAAUAAAAGAACUGAGAUAAAAACUCGAUAAAUAGCAGACCUUGUUUCCCUGUUAUCAUUGUUACUAUCCCAUGAUAUCACUAGACGAAACCUCCAAGAAGAGGGAGCUAAAGUUGAUUGGAAGUCUGACCCUCCCUUCUCUACUGAGAGAGGGGCCACACUGCUGGCUGUGGCCUCAAGGUUGCUAUGGUUAUUCUAGGGGCUGCCGAGUUGGGAGGGAAUCGUGACAGCUGUUGCCAUGUGGAGGGGCCCUGAACCCCUGUAAACUUUUGUGAAAGCGAUUUCUUUUGUGAUGAGCUAGAGAUGUUACAUUGCUUACUUUCGUGUUGCCAGUGUAUAUCAUGAGGUCAAUAAAGUUUCCUAAGAUUGUGUGAGGCUAACUAGUGUUCGUCUUCAAUACAUUACCUUGGCAACCAGAAGGAGGCCACAGCUACUGAGAGGGGCGGGGGCAUAGUGGUGACCUUUUCUCUGGAAUGUGUUUUUUCCUCUCUCCCUGAGAAAAUUCUAAUCAUAUUUCAAAUGUCGCUUCUUUCCUGAAGUUUGCCCUGAUCCUUUCCCCAUGCUAUCUCAGGAAAAUUACUUCCCAAUCAAUGUUCCUGCUGGCUAUAUGCUUUACUCCAUAUUGCAAACAUAAAUCAGUUACCUUAAGCUGCAGUGGUAGAAAGCGUUGCUUAGUAGAGUUGCAAGUAGAAUGUCAUUCCAUCUUUGUCUGUCAAACUCUGGUGAGCAUGGGUUCUUUCUGAAAAAGUCAGGGCAAGACAAAACCAUUCCAACUCAAGUGCAGGUCAUAGAGCUCUAUGACGGAGCUAAAGGUAGAAAGCAGAGAGGUGGGGCCACACAAAUAGACCACUCCAGUGCUGAUAAUUAACUAGGGGCAAGGCUUUAUUAGGAGCUCUGGUGGUGCAGUGGGUUAAAAGCUCAUGUGCUAACCAAAAGUUUGAAUCCACGAGCCUCUCCUUGGAAACCCCACGGGGUAGUUCUACUCUGUUCUGUAGGGUCGCUAUGAAUCAGAACCUACUGGAUGGCAAUAGAUUUGGUUUUUGGUUUUAGGGCUUUAUUAGAUUUACCUGAAGAAAAUAUUAAUAGCUAACAUUUAAUGAGAAAUACAAUGUGCCAGGUACUGUGCUAAGGGCUUCCCAUAUGUUAUUUAAUUCUCACAUCAACCAUAAAGCUAAGUAUUAUUAUCAUCAAUAUUUUACAAAUGAGGACCCUGAGGUGUAGAGAGGUUAAGUUACUGGCUGAACGUUACAAAGUGAGGCCAAUGACAAGAGCUGGGAUUUAAAUCUAGGCAGUAAGGAUUCAGAGCAUGCUGUCUUCGUGUCACCAUUAUAUGUUACCAUGAGGACGUUAUAUGACGUCUAUACACUGCUUGUUAUUAUCAUCAUUUAUAUCCUGGUCAGAAGAGAAAAGCCAGGAGCAAGGUCAGGGCCAAGACAUCACAAAGCAAUGGGAUCACUGAUGGGAAAAAGUUCCCAGAGGAGGGACAUGGAUCGGAACUAAAAGAUGAUGAGUUGACAAGGGAUAGAAGGAUCUUCUAAUCCAAAGGGAGGAGCACAGUAAGAGAGGCAGCAUAAAUUAAUGCCUUCCUACAGGCAGUGGCUUAGAAGCCCAGGCUCCUUCUACCAUACAACUCUACCAGGGUCAGUCCUUUGUUUCCAGCUACACAAUUGAAGAAAGGGCAUGGAGAAAGCAACCCUAGUCAAGAAAUAUUCUGCUGAAGGGUCAUUGAUGAAAAUUGGGCACAUGUCCGCAUUCGUACGUAUGCAGGGAGAGAACACAUGGCAAUUUGGUGACAUGUUAAGUUUCUACUUAACAGACUCACUAAUGGGUUAUGAUCCAGUAUUUAUUUCCUGACUACUUCUCCAGCCCCAAUCCAGCCAUUGCGGUCUUCUCUUACUCUCAUAUGUGACACCAGGAUUCCACUCCACAGAGGGCAUUAUCAGAUGCUAUUGCCCUUCUUUCUUUAAGUACCUAAUUCCUACUUAUGGGUCGGAAUCGACUUGAUGGCAACAGGUUUGGUUUUUUUGGUUUGGAAUUCCUGCUUAUCCAGCAGAGUGUCAUUUACUUAUAAUAUCUUCAGAAAAGCCUACUUGAACUCCCUUUGCUAGACAAAAUCCUAGAUCAAGUUCUCAUCACAUCAUUUAAUAUUUUUUGUUACUGUAUCAAUUUUAUAUGUAUAUAUAUAUAUAAUUAUUAUUUGACUAACUUUUUAUCCCCCUUCUCCAAUAGACUGAAAUUAAAUGAAGGCUAUGUUCUAGUUCAUUGUUUCAUUUCCCAAGAUUUACAAUAAGAUGGCUCAGCAGCUGACUGACUGACCAGCUGAAUAAAUAAAUAUACACUCUCUUUAAUAGCAUUUUUUCCAUCAGUGGAAGUGUUCAGAGAUUGGAAAGUCACCUGUCAGUAGUACUGCAGAGGGGUUGGUAUCUGGGCUCAAUGAAUUCUUCAUUUAUUCUAUCAGUACAUAUGUACUGAGUGUCUUUUUUGAGCCAGGGACUUUAUUAGGCACUGGAGACCUAUCUAGGACUCAGCAAAGCUUUCCAGGAAUUGCCAUGCUUGUCAUCUGCUGAUCUUUGUACACUCUUCAUCCUUCCUGAAUACUCCUUCACUCCACAUUUUAUCUCACUCUUAAACACCCUAACAGUCCCAGCUUAAAUGAGUUUCAUCCAAGUAAAGCUAUAUGACCCCAAAGUCUGUGUUAAAGGCAUUGUGGUUAUUGUUGCUGUUGUUGGGUGCUAUAGUGUUGAUUCUGAUUCACGACAAUCCCAUGUAACAGAGUAGAACUACCCCAUAAAGUUUUCUUGGCUGAAAUCUUUAUGAGAGCAGGUUGCCAGGCCUCCUCCUUUGGAGCAGCUGGGUGGGUUUGAACUGCCAAUCUUUAGGUUAUCAGCCUAGAGCUUAAACAUUGUGCCACCAGAGCUUAUUUUAUAAGGGCAUAACCAAAAAAGCCCAUUGCCAUCGAAUUGAUUCCGACUCAUGGUGACCCUAUAGGACAGAGUAGAACUGCCCAUAGGGUUUCUAAGGUGUACCUCGUGGAUUCAAACUGCCAACUUUUUGGUUAGCAGCCAUAGCAAUUAACCACUAUGCCAUCAGGGUUUCCUUUAAAGGCGUAGAUCACUAUAUAAUUUAACAUGAUAGUUAUCAUGAGGAUUAUAAAAUGGGUGAAAAAAGCAUGACAGACUACUAGCAGUCCUCCAGUAAUCAAUCUUCUCCAUUUAUAUAGUGAUAUUCUAAAACAAAUUUUAGUUUUUUUUUUUUUUUAGCCUUUUAGCUGAGCACGUAGCCACCCAGUUAAGACUACAUUUCCCAGCCUUCUUGCUGCUAUAUGUGCCACGUGGCUAAAUUCAGAUCAAAGGCAAGUGAAUAGAUGUAUGUGUGACCCUUUCAGGUCUUGUAUUUAUAUAAUUGUCCAUAAAUUCCCUUCAUCCCCUCUAACUUUUACUGGCUGAGAUAUGGCAAGAAUUGGAGCAGAAUCCUUGGACCCACGAGUAUUCAGAAUGACCCCACCAACCUAUGAAUCUUUAUAAAAUAGAAGUAAAUAUUUUUGUAGUUAUUUCGCUAUAUUUUGGAGUUUCUUUGUUACAGAAGAUUAUCCUGUACUUUCACUAAUACAACAGAGCUCUUAUUUAUAUUGUUGACUUUUGUAUCCCCAACUUAUUGCCCUGGAUCUGGCACAUAGUAGGCACUCAACCGCUAUUUAUUAAAUUAAUGAGUGAAUACAAGAAUGAGUGAGUUGGUAAUGUCAUAAUGAGUGGUAUGAUGAUUCAGGCUGGGGAAUGGACUAUAAACUCAUCGCCCUCAAGUCGGUUCUGACUCAUGGCAGGCCUAUGUUGUUGUUGUUGUUGUUAGGCACCAUUUAGUCAGUUCUGACUCAUAGCAACCCUAUGUACAACAGAACAAAACACUGCCCAGUCCUGCACCAUUCUCACAAUUGUUGUUAUGCUUGAGCCCAUUGUUGCAGCCACUGUGUCAAUCCAUCUCAUUGAGGGUCUUCCUCUCUUUCGCUGACACUCUACUUUAUCAAGCGUGAUGUCCUUCUCCAGGGACAGUUCCCUCCUGAUAACUUGUCCAAAGUAUGUGAGGCAAAGUUCUACCACCCUUGCUUCUAAGGGAUAUUCUGACUGCAUUUCUUCCAAGACAGAUUUGUUGUUCUUCUGACUUUCCAUGGUAUAUUCAAUAUUCUUUGCCAACACCAUAAUUCAAAGGCAUCAAUUCUUCUUUGGCCUUUCUUAUCCACGAAUAAGGAAGGCACCCUGUAGGACACUGUAGAGCUGCCCCAUAAUGUUUCCAAGGUUGUAAAUCUUGGAAUGGAAUGGAAUGGAAACAGACCGCCUCAUCUUUAACCAGCAGAGCAGCUGGUGGGUUUGAACCGCCAACUUUUCAGUUAGCAGCCGUGUUUAGACACUGUGCCACCAGAGCUCCUGGAAUUGACAGUAACCUGGUAAUAAUCUAAACCAAGGAAUGAAUUAUUCCCUGGGUAGACAAAUAUAAUCUGGAUAUUGUUGUUGUUGUUAGCUACCAUCAAGUCAGAGGAAAAACAGCUCUAUAGGGUUUUCUCUGCUGUAAUCUCUGGAAGCAAUUUGUCAGGCGUUUUUUUCCGUGCAGCCACUGGAUGGGUUCUAACAUCUAGUCUUUAUACAAACCUGUUGCUGUCGAGUGAAUUCUGACUCAUAGCGACCCUAUAGAACAGAGUAGAACUGCCCCAUAGAGUUUCCAAGGAGCGUCUGGUGGAUUCGAACUGCUGACCUUUUGGUUAGCAGCUGUAGCACUUAACCACUACCCAACCAGGGUUUCCCCAGUCUUUGUAUUAGCAGCCAAUCUCUAACAGCUUGUGCCACCCAGGCUCCUUAUAAUCUCCAUAAAUAUGUAUAGUGAACCUGCGAGAGCUGGAGCUCAAUGGAACUGCCUUGUUUUUCCGGAUCUCACAAGUUUUCCACCUUUGACAAGGUGCAGUCUUACCACUUUUCUAUUGCUCUCUAUUAGUGGAAAAUAUUUGAGUUUUCCUUCUCUAACAGGUUUCUGCUUUACAUAGGUCCAACUUUUGCAGUUUUACUGUAUAUAUUCUUUUCCUCUGGAAAAUCAGUCAAUCAUUUAUUUAAGGGUUGAUAAAUAAAUGGAAAUAAUUGGACUAUAUAGGUCAAAUGAGAGCAAAUAACUGAAUUCAACAAGUUCUUGAAGUUUUAUUGUUUGGUGAUUUUUUUUUUUAUAAGUAAACAUUUGAGUAUGCUCAGUAUGGGAAUAUUGAGAAACAUCAAUGAGGUUUCUUUCCUCUGAAGGUAAUUUGUAUUUUCUUUGCCCCAUUUGAGACUCCAGCUCUUAUUCUGGAGGUCCAUGUUUAGCUGCCACAAAAUGCUACAGUACCUUGUCUUAGUCUCCCAAACCUAGAGCCAGAAUUGAGUAUUGUCCAUGGCCAGUUCAAUGACUCCAGUCUCCUUCAUUCAGCUUCCUUUCUGUUUGUGAUUUAGACUGAGCUCAUUUUUUAAUUCUCUGUUACUUUCUUCUGAGCCCAGCAAAGCUUUUAAGAGUAUGCGUGCUUAUCCAAGGUCUAGUUCUAGCUGAUUAUAGCAGGAAGGGCCUCUGGAGUAUCUAGUCCACUUACUCUUCAGAUUACUUUUAAUCCUAUGCUUUUAGGCUAUACAAUCCAUUCAUUUUUUUUCUUUAUAGUCUAUCUUUUGUGAUAUUCAAGCCAAUCAAAGCCACUACAACCUUCGUGUAACUAUUUCAUUCGUCAAUCAAUCUAUUUACUCAUUUGACAAAAUGCUUCAAAUAAUAAUUUUUCUGAUCUGGGCAGGGGAUACGCGAUAGCCACAUUCUUGCAAAUUACUUGAAGAUUAUUACUGCCAUGUGGUGAAAUACACGUAUGCACAAUUCACUGCCAAAGCUUUUAGGAAAAUUCUUAUUUCUCCUUGAGGAGUCAGGAGAGAAAGUCUUCUCUAAGUUGGCAUUACUUGAACUGAAGCAAAACCUGUCAGACCUCGAAAGCAUGGGACAGGAAGUUCCAGAACAUCACAUUUUGUUGGUAGAAGCGAAUCACAAGAUGUCUUAGAGUCCUAAGGCUGCCAAAAUAAAAUACCACAAAGCAGGUAGCUUUAAAGAACAGAGUUUAUUGUCUCAGGGUUGUAGAAGCUAGAAGUCUAAAUUCAGGGCAUUGGCAGGGCUGUCCUUUCUCUCUGUUCACUCUAGGGGAAGAUCCUUCCUCGUCUCUCUCAGCUUCUGAUAACCUCAGGCAUUUCCUGGCAUUCCUUGGCUUGUAGACAGAUCUUCACAUGGUAUCUUCCCCCUGUAUGUGUGACCCUGUCUCCAUGCCUGUCCUCGUCUCCUAUGAUACAAGUCUUAUAGAAGUAGGACGUAACAUAAUGAAGAUUGGGAACUCAUUGGCUUAAACUGAUGAUCUCUUCAAAGAAAGACCCUAUUUCCCUGAACAAGGUCACAUUCACAGGUGCAGGGGUUAGAACUUCAACACAUCUUUUGUGGGGACACAAUUCACUCCAUGGAAACCCUGGUGGCAUAGUGGUUAAGUGCUAUGGCUGCUAAUCAAGAGGUCGGCAGUUCAAAUCCGCCAGGUGCUUCUUGGAAACUCUGUGGGGCAGUCUUACUCUGUCCUGUAGGGUCACUAUGAGUUGGAAUCAACUUGACGGCAGUGAGUUUAAAGUCAACCUAAAUUCCAAGGAGUGGGAAAUUUAUCUCUUGAUGUGAGACAUAGUAGGCUCACAAAUGAAGGAAUGAUUGGUGUCCACCUUUGCUGACUACUCACCACACCAAGUGUACCCCAGAAAUCUAGAAAUUCAUUUUCUGUUAUUUCAGAAAAAAUUGCCUAUUCAUUCCCCUCUGACUUCCCUCUUUAUUAACCAUGCUUUUGUGUUUAAUCUCUUGACUCUGUUAUGUAACACCAAUUUCCCUAUUUCUUAAAUUAUUUUAAAAUAUUUGUUUUCUUUUGACUCUCAUUUCUCUCACUUAAACUUUCCCUCCGUGUCCCUAAUUAGGUUCUCAACUUGUUUUCUGUUUUGGUUCUUGAUGGCUUUACUUUCCUCUUUUAUUUACUUUCUGGACAAAGCAAUGUUUUAAAUUUAUUUUGCUGGCAUUUCUUCUUCAAACCCUUGUUGUUCUAAUUUAAAUAGGAGCCUUAAUAAUAGAUAUUUUCAUAAAUCUCGUUAAGUUCUUGUGGACCGUCUUCAGCCGUGGUAUCCAUCCAGUCUCUGGUAGUGAUAUUUUUCCCAUCUAUGUUCUUCAACUGCUACUUUCUUUUGUCAUUCACCCUCUUUUAUUAUUAAUUAUACUAAUACAUUGGUCCUAUGUUCUGUUCACUCUUUUUUUUUUAAUGCUUGAAUUGACCGUGAAUUUUUGGAAGAUAUUGUAAGGGAAAGGUCGGGGCAUCAAGAAAUUUGCUUGGCUUUUAGUAGAACUUUCUCCAACACAGGGUUUUAUGUCCAUGUAUGUAAAAAAAAAUUAAAGUUUUCUUCAGUUGAUAGAUAUUAGCAGCAAUGUUUGGCUUAUAAAUCUCAUACUUUUCAUUCUGCACCUCAGUUGUGCAGAUGGUGCCUCUACAUUCUUCCUCUCUGCUCAUUGGCACGUGCUUUCUCUGUUAUAAUUUGGGGUUCACAUAGAUGUCCACAGGCAGCAACGUGCUCCAACAUCAUUGUUCCAAGCAAUAAGUUAUUAGUUUUAUCCCUUGGCAUAUGCAAUGCACUUGGACAAACCUGUGUUUUCCCAUUUUUUCCUGAAUGGCCACUCCCAAUGUUCUCACUCACCCUGGUUGUCUUCACAUAUGCUGAGUUUCAAAUUUCUUUUGUUAUCUGUGCUGUAAUACUUUUCAAAAGAUCCAAAUUUCCUCUUUCGGUGUUAGAGAUUGUAGUGUCAAAACAAUUCCUCUACUUUCUCCUACAUUUUUCUAUAGGUAUAAACUAAAUAUAUUAUAUUACCAAAGAAGGGCACAAAAUGCAUAUGUACAAUUCAAAGAAUAACAAAAUGAACAUCCAGUCCCCAACAUCCAGCUUAAGAAACAGAAUCUUAGCAGUACAUUUGAUGUCUCCAUGUGCCUUUCAUCGAUUGCAUCCUCCUCCUCCUUGUCCACAUGUACACGUCCUGAAGGUUUUACCGUUGUUAUCUGCUCUUAUUUAUAGAAUAUAUGUGUCUAUACAUACAAACAUGCAGAUGUAUGUAAUCUGUAAAUUGUGUGUUUACUUUUAAUGACUUUUAGCCUUUAGAAAAAUGAAAUGAUUCUCUGAGUAUUCUUUUACAGUUGCUUUUCCUUACUUUUUUUCAUACCUGUAGCUAUAGCUCAUUCAUUUUAUUUUACUUCAUACUUAUGCAAGAGUUUCUCAAAUAUAUAUAAAAUCAGUGGGUUAAAGAGUAUGUCCAUCUUCAAAUUUACACAUUUAAAACCAAGCGUUGGUCAAAGUGGUUGUAGCAAAGUACACCCCAACCACGCCUGAGAGUUCUCCUUGUUCUUUCCCAGAACUUCUGUUUCUACCUUUAAUUUUCAGUUUCUUUAUUAGUAAUAAGAGUGUCUAGCCUUUCACAUAUUUAGCAGCCAUUUAUUUUUCCACUUACUGCUGUAUACAAUCUGUCCAAGUCUUUUAUUAUUUUGUUUUCAUGUUUCACGGAAAUUAUACGUGUACAUACUUGGAUAUUAAUUUUACGUUGGUCAUAUAUGUUACAAGUACCCACUUCAAGUUUGUGGCUUCUCUUUUCAUUCUUAGGAUGGUAUCUUCCAAUAAACAGGAGUUCUUACUUUUAAUUUAAUAACAUGUAUGUUUUUUUUUUUUCCUUUAUGGUUAGUGCUAUUUGUAGCUUGUUUACAAAAUCCUCCACUAUCUUAUUGUAACCAGACUGCUCCACGCCUUCUCAGAGUGGCCAAAGAGACACAAACCAGAUGAAAGUGAAAGUAGAGAGGCUUGUGUGGAAAAGGAUGAGGGAGUAACAUCUCACACUUUGAGGUGAAAAAAGGCCCGAAAGAAAAGAUACAGAGCUGUUUUGAGUUAGGAAAGGCUGUUUGGUUAGCCAAGCAAAGGAGCACACCAGGGCUUGUGUCACCAAGAUAGCUCCCAGAGCAAUAGCCCAAUGAGUUUAUAUAGGUGAAGUAAAUCGGGUCUGGGAUCUUCAGGAACACCUCAAGUUGGGGCCAGCUUGCUGAUUCACCUGGCCUAAAAAGUCAUUUGGCCUUUCUGCGCUUGCUCAGUCUAAAAAGAUAAUAGAUCCACAGUUUAAAAUUCUAAACAUUAUCCCAUUUCCCACCAGUCCCUAGAGAAUCUACUUGGUGGCACUUGUGGCCUGACCAGUGCUCAUUCAUUUGACAAUAAAGGUAUCUCAGUUACUCAGGUAACGCUGAAGUUUUAGCAUAAUUUCCUCAGAAGCAAGGGCGAAAACCAGAUUUCCUUGGGUAAAGUUAAAUUCUUGGCACCAGUAAAAGAGUCAAUGGCUUUUGGUGAAAGAAGUAGCCAUGGAGAUGGUUCACAUUUGGAAGAGCACCAAAGUAGAUAGUAAAGGAGAUCAGUUUAGAAGAAAGAAAAAUUCACUCACUACGUUGUGGUCCUGGAUCAAGUUGGCCAUCAUCCAUAUGUAAUGAUGUCAAUAGGUCCAACUUCUCCUGGGGAAAAUGGUGUAAUGAAUCAAGAAAGCACUAAGUUUCUAGAAGGACACACCUGCACUAUUUUAUAGUGUCUCCCCAGUUCCCUGGCAUUCUCAGUUUGGUGCAGCUUCAUUCAAAGAAUAGAGCUCCAGGGGCUCCCUUUGCCACUCUAGGUAAAGUGAGUCAUGUAGUGGUUAAGCGUUGGACUGUUAACCAAAAGACCAGCAGUUCAAAUCCACCAGGCGCUUCCUGGAAACGCUAUGGGGCAGUUUUACUCUGCCUUAUAGUGUGCGUAUGAGUCAGAAUUGACUCAAUGGCAAUGGGAUUUUUUUUUUUUUUAAAUCUCUAUAAAUAUGCUUCGCACUUUAUACUGCCCUGUUAACUUGUUUAAGAUACUGAUUGAUGGGUCCUCUGACAAACACACUGAAAUGGGAUCCAAACAGUGAGAACUUGCUCUGAUUACCAAAUUGAGAGACAAUGCAACAAUGACAUUUGUGAUGUAUUGUUUUAUUUUACUUCCAGACACUCACUGUAAUGAUGAGGAAAUCUUGGUUUAUAUGCAUUAUGGAAAGGAUCCUUUCCUAUGAAAGUUUAAAAGUGUUUAUUUUUGUAUAAUAACUUCAAUGCUAUGAGUUCAGCUAAGCUUACUAUCUUGUGCAGUAUAAUGGAGAGGGUAUAUUACAGUUUUAUUUUUCUUCUUGUUUUAAUCAUGGAGUAAAAGAAAAGCAGAAAAUAAAUUCAAGUUGUUUUUCAAGUAAUUUUUAAAAUAUAUGAACAAAGUUGAUGCUCAGGAAAGCAAAAUAGCAGGUUAUGAACACAGCCUGUGGUGCCAGUUCAAAUCCUGAUUUUGCCACUUAGUAGUAAUACACAAGGUACCAAACUUUUCUAAGCCUCGGCUUCUGCAUCUACAAAAUGGAGGCAGUAAGAAAAUCUGCUGCGUAAAAGUCAUUUUGAGAAACAAACGCUGGUAAAGUAAUUUAAACAGUAUCUGGCAUGUACUGUGCCUCAAUAAAUGUUAAAAAAGAAGAAGAAGAAGAUGUCAUCAAGUAGAUUCCUACUUACGGUGACCCCAUGUGUGUCAGAAUAGAACUGUGCUCCGUAGGUGGUAUGUGUGCUUUCUGUAUACUCUCAAAUCACAUCUGAUUCUUCAAUGUUCUUAAAACAAAUGUGUAACUCACUAUUAUGUAUGUUUCUAUAAUGCUUUUUACACUUUUAUGAUGUUUUUAUAAUGCUUUUAAACAUCUACAUAUAAGUAACUUAUGGUGUGAAAUUCUAAAUAAUAAGAAUUAGAAACAUACAUAUUUCUAUAAGGCUCUCUAACCAUUAACUAUAAGUUGCUAGAAAGUUGUUUAACUUUGAAAAUACGAUAAUAGAAACAUGUGAAGGAGGUCCUAAAUAACUUUCUGAAAUUGGGCUGUGCACCUGCACUCUGUGAUAAUAGAAUGUAACGUUAAUCAAAUCUCUAUAAGUUAACAAAACAUAAAUAUGUCACUAAACAAUGCCCAUAAUUUUUAAUUAAUUAACUUGGCCUUAAGCCAUGUAGCAGACAAGAAUAUAAAUAUGCCACAUAACAACUCCCUAAUUGGCAAUAAACAUGACAUAAAUAUGUCAUACAACAAUUCUUUAAUUGGCAAUAAAACAUACCAGUUAUAGUUGAACGCAAGAGCACACAGGGUAUAUAAACCCAUGGGUUUCUGCUCAUUUUCGGAGAAGAAGACAAAAGCAAAAAAUCUUUCUGACUCUCUGUCUUAAGACUGAGAAGCCUGCUGAGAUUACUGCUCAUCACAACUGACCUCGAACCCUAGCUCCUCGGGACCUCUUUUCAGUUUGAGGGGCACUCAAGUCUCCUCCCCGAGGCCACUAGUUAAAGGUAAAAGCCCGAAGUCUGAAGACUUGGGCUCUAACUUUUAAACUAAAAUUAUAAUUGUUCAUUUUGAUGCUCUAAUGCUAAAUGAAUGUCUUCAGGGCUUACAUGUGUGCCUUGCCAUGACUACUGUUAUAAAUUGAGUUGUGACCACCCCAAAAAAUACGUGUCAACUUGGCUAGGCCAUGAUUCCCGGUAUUGUGUGGUAUGGUGGUCCUUCAUUUUGUGAUCUGAUGUAAUUAUCCUAUGUGUUGGAAAUCUUAACUUCUAUGAUAUUGAGGUAGCAUAUGAUCAGGAACUGAUGGUACCAAAGGAAAAAGUUCAAGGUGCACUGAAGUCAUUGGCAAAAAACAAGUCUCCAGGAAUCGAUGGAAUAUCAAUGGUGAUAUUUCAACAAAUGGAUCUAGCAUUGGAAGUGCUUACUUGUCUAUGCCACGAAAUCUGGAAGACAGCUACCUGGCCAACCAACUGGAAGAGAUCCAUAUUUAUGCCUAUCCCCAAGAAAGGUGAUCAAAACGAAUGCAGAAAUUAUCAAACAAUAUCAUUAAUAUCACAUGCAAGCAAAAUUUUGCUGAAGAUCAUUCAAAAGUUGCUGCAGCAGUAUAUUAAAAGGAAACUGCCAGAAAUUCAGUCCGGAUUCAGAAGAGGACGUGGAACCAGAGAAAUCAUUGCAGAUGUCAGAUGGAUCCUGGCUGAAAGCAGAGAGUACCAGAAGGAUGUUUACCUGUGUUUUAUUGACUGUGCAAAGGCAUUUGACUGUGUGGAUCAUAACAAAUUAUGGAUAAUAUUGUGAAGAAUGGGAAUUCCAGAACACUUAAUUGUGCUCAUGAAGAAACUCUACAGAGAUUAAGAGGCAGUUGUUCAAAAAGAACAAGGGGAUACUGAGUGGUUUAAAGUCAGGAAAGGUGUGCCUCAGGAUUGUAUCCUUUCACCAUAUCUAUUCAAUCUGUAUGCUGAGUAAAUAAUCUAAGAAACUGGACUAUAUGAAGAACGGGGAAUCAGGAUUGGAGGAAGACUCAUUAACUACCUGCAUUAUGCAGAUGACACAACUUUGCUUGCUGAAAGUGAAGAGGACCUGAAGCACUUCCUGAUGAAGAUCAAAGACCACAGCCUUCUUUAUGGAUUACACCUCAACAUAAAGAAAUCAAAAACCCUCACAACUGGACCAAUAAGCAACAUCAUGAUAAACAGAGGAAAGAUGAAGGUUGUCAAGGAUUUCAUUAUACUUGAAUCCACAAUCAACACCCAUGGAAGCAGCAGUCAAGAAAUUAAAAUACGCAUUGCAUUGGGUAAAUCGGCUGCAAAACACCUCUUUAAAGUGUUGAAAAGCAAAGAUGUCACCUUGGGGACUAAGGUGCACCUGACCCAACCCAUGGUGUGUUCAUUCGCCUCAUAUGCAUGCAGAAGCUGGACAAUGAAUAAGGAAGACUGAAGAAUUGACCCCUUUGAAUUUUGGUGUUGGUGAAAAACACUGAAUAUACCAUGGACUGCCAAAAGAACGAACAAGUCUGUCUUGGAAGAAGUACAAACAGAACGCUCCUUAGAAGCCAGGAUGGGGAGACUAUGUCUCACAGAAUUUGGACACAUUAUCAGGAGGGAUCAAUCCCUAGAGAAAGACAACAUGCUUGGCAAAGUACGGGGUCAGCAAAAAAAGAGGCAGACCCUCAACGAGAUGUAUUGUUUGGGCUCAAGCAUAGCAACAACUACGAGGAUGGCGCAGGACUGACAGUGUUUCAUUCUGUUGUGCAUAGGGUUGCUAUGAGUUGAAAUCGACUCAGCAGCACCUAACAACAACAACAAAGUGUGAUAGAAUAAAUUUCUGUUUAUUAAAGCCAUUCACUUGUGGUACUUCUGUUAGCAGCACUAGAUAACUAAGACAACUACCUUGCAAUAAAUUAAACAAGUUUACAAACCAGAACAUUUCGUUAUUUAUUAAGAUAAAAUUCUCCAUUACUUUAGGGUUUUCAGUGGCUGAUUCUUCAGAAGUAGAUCACCAGGCCUUUCUUCCGAGGUGCCUAUGAUAGACUUAAACCUCCCACCAUUUGGUUAGCAGCUGAGCACAUUAACCCUUUGCACCACCUAGAGUCUCCCAAUAAAUAUUAUAAUAAUAAGAAUAAUUUUUAUUUUAAGUGAGGAUACAGGAACUAUGCCUUUUGAUUGAGUUACUAUUGAUCUUUUAAGCUCCUAUUUGUAUAUUAGUCAAAAUAAUUUCAUGUAACCUUUUCUUCCCAGGAUCCCACUUAUUAGGAAGAGAGGUUAUAUUUUCACAUGCUGGAUGAAAAUACUGAAGUUUUGACCAAGAAUAACCAUCAAAACACAUGCAUCAAAUGCUCUUUUAAAUGAAAUAUACAUUGCAAAUUCCUCCAUGUUAGAGUUGUUUGCUUUGGUAAAUAAAUAUACAGGAUGCCCAGCUGAAUUUGAAUUUUGGCUAAUUAACGGCUAAUUUUAUAGUAUGAACAUGUCCCAAAUAUUGCAUGAGGCAAGCUUAUCUGACAACCAAACUUCAAGCCAUCAGGGAGAAAGUAACCAUGAGUAACUAGGAAAAAAUAGCCUGUCUUUAGGGGAUCUCAGCAAAAAUAAGAAUUCAUUUGCUGUAAAUGACCGAAAACUCUUAAAAGCCCUACAUAUAUUAAUCAAAAAUUCUCCAUAAUUUUUGGUUCAGAAAGAUGGAAAUGUAAAGAGGUUUACAAAAGAAUGAUUACAGAAAAUGGACCCUUAGAAGAAUAAAUCUUUUUAUUCGGAACAGGAAAGAAAAAAGCCCUUUUUGGAAUAUGUCUCUUUGAAGAAUCUUUAGAUCCUUCCAGUUGUAAAAUAUGUCUAGAAGAAUGAAAGCAAACCCUUUUCUAUUCAACAGAUAAUCAUUUCCUUGAAGUUGUUCGUUUUAAGCUCUUCAUUAUAAGAAGCAGCUUAUAAUUAGCUGGGGAGCAAGUACCACCCAUCUUUUUAGACCUAAUAUGGCGGAGGAAACCCUGGCGUAACGGUUAAGCGGUACGGCUGCCAACCGAGAGGUCAGCAGUUUGAAUCUGCCAGGCGCUCCUUGGAAACUCUAUCGGGCAGUUCUACUCUGUCCUAUAGAUUGCUAUGAGUCGGAAUCGACUCAAUAGCAGUGGGUUUAGCUUUUUUGGCUUUAACAUGGUGGAAACCCUGAUAGCCUAGUGGUUAAGCGCUACAACUGUUGACCAAAAGGUCGGAAGUUCGAAUCUACCAGGUGCUCCUUGGAAAUUCUAUGAGGGAGUUCUACUCUGUCCUGUAGGAUCGCUGAGUCAGAAUUGACUCGACUGCAAUGGGUUUGGUUUUUUGGUUUUAAUAUGAUGCAAUGAAAAUGUUUUAUAAUAAAUUUCUCAUGUAAUUAAAUAUUAGGAUCAGGCCCAGUUAGUUGUAAGAAAGAAUAAACUUUACAUUCAAUGUUUUAGGGGGAAAAGGACAAAAACAGGUAUUAAAAUUUCAAUGUGUGAAUAUUAGAGUUCUGAAUGCAGGCUUACAGUUUUUUAAAGUACCAGUGCAAAGACUUUCAGUUAAUCACAGUUUUACCACUACAAGAUGAUAUUAAAAUAUAUAUCUCUUUCCUGCAAAUUUUUACUUUUUUGCUUACAUACAAAAUUAAUGACGGGAGCUGAAGUUUUACAAGACUGAAUGUAUCUUUUGUUCCCAGUGAAUUCUGGUAACAGAAAUAAAAUAAACUUAAAAAAAGAAAUGUAUCAGUCUCUUUCUUCCCCCAAAAGACUUACAAUGAGAUCCAGGGCCUUUCCCCUAAAAACGGAUGAGAUUUUAUUAAGUUGGAGUUUUUUGCUUAAUUUUUCUGACUAGGUCUUGGAAUUUUUGAGGGCAGAGCUAAAUUCUAGAAAAUAAAUAUUUUAUAUCUCAUGACAGAUUCCUGAGGAAUACAAUCCAUAGUCUUAGGUGUGUGCUUCACUUAUUUUCUUUUUAAGAUAAAAAUCAUAGACGUAUAAAAGAAUUCCAUGUUCCAGUGCAGCGGACCUCUCUUUCCAGUUGAUGUAUUUCUCACAGUGUGAUGGACCUUCUGAGACACUACUUUAUCUCUUCUUUUAUGACAACUACCCAUUUGCAGGAAAAAAAAAAUUUUUCCAGCGUCCUUCUUAAACUAAUAGCAAGUUUCUAGGUAUUUAUUUUGUAACAUUGAAAGGACAGAUUCCGGUAGAAAAUAUACAUUUAAAACACAAAACAUCCCGCGUGUAGGAAUUGCCACAUGCAGCUGCAAUCUGAGGCAAACUUGUAGGUGUUUAAAAUUGAAAACUUUUUGUGCUGGUAUUUUGAAGGAAUUUACAGGUAAAACAGACCCAUCAUGUGGGACUAGUGAAUGUGAGAACUAUAAAUUUUAACUACGCUCUCUAAUGAAUACCACCGACCAAGUUUCAAUAGGAGAAACUGAGGCACAAGCAUUCAAGUGACUGAUGAGAGAAGUAAAAGCAAGCUUUCUUUCUUUCUGGCACCCAUAAUUGAUGGUUCCCAAUUCCCUUUUCUUGCUAAUAAGUAGCCUUCAUAUAAAUUAGGAACUGUUGCUUCAUUCUAAUAGUCACUUCUCUUCAUGAGUUAAUAAGGGUAAGGUUCUAUACAAUAUAAGGAUUAAUUGCUAAUUGCGUGAACAUAAUAAUAAAAGAAUUAAGAGCGUGAACCCAAAGUCAAUGAGUUGAAUGGAAAGAAAUGAUGACGUAUAGCUCAAGAUAUUUAAAAUCAGUCAAGGGAGUGGAGUUGUAGAAAAUAAAACCAAACCUAAAGGUAGUAUGUGACAAAUGUAAUAAGCUCAUACAGAAUCCACCAAAAGCAGUUGUUUUUAUUAUUUCUUUGGAAAAUACCACUAUUCUGGAGGUUUCUUCUAGCUCCUAAACAAUUUUUAAGACUAUGAGGCUUUUCAAAAAAUGGGUAACUAUAAAAGAGCUCUCUACCAAUGUUUUAAAUUGAAUGGAAACUGUAUUUUAAUGCGCGCUUCCAUAUUAUGUAUAUAAACAUACAGCACAUGAAAUGACUUAUGUACAAUAAAAGACGAUGCCUGGAUUAUAUCGUGAUAGGUUGAUUAAUAGCCAUUCCUUAUAAAAAGCAGUCUAGGCAUUUUAGAAAUUCAAAGUAAACACACUUCAGUGAAAAUCUAGGACAAACUUUCACAUGGAAAAUAAUCACAUGCCAUACUGUAUUUCUCAUAUCCAUGUUGAAUUCUGUGAAAAUAGCCAUUUUAUGCUUCCUAGGCAAAUAUUUAGCACAAAUAAAUUUGCAUGCUUUUAUUUUAAUCCUAUGAAUUUUAAUAUAUACAUAUAUAAAAUAUUUGUUGGUUUUAAAGAUGUUUAUUUAAGUUUACUGAAUUUCACAAACAUAAUUUUUUGGCCAAAAACAUUAAGGAAUACAUUUCACAUAUUAUACAGAGAAGUAUAUAUGUUGCAAAAUUGUAAACACAAUGUGAAGACAAGAAGAUACGCUCACAUGAAAUUUUAAAUUGGAUGACAACGUGAGCUGGAGGAGAUACUGUACUAAAUGCCUAUACACGGAGUCUAGGGUUUCCCAAUGUUAAUUUAGUUAACCUUCUGGUAGUACCUAUGCACUCACACACCACUUCUACAUGCCAUCUCUAGAAGUGAAGCAGUAAACUAUAAGAUAUAUAUGAGUAGGACAAUGAGGACAUCUUGAGGUCAUUCUAGAAAUAUACAUGUUGUUCUCACACACAGCCCACACGCUAUUUAUGAUUUAGAAGGUAAAUCUCUCAACCUAAGUUAACGCUUCCAUUAAGAACUGUGUGUUUUAUCCUUCAUGAAAACAAAAUGGCAAAGCUUCUCAAGAGCAUUUAGAGAGCACUAGAAAGUUCUCUCUUUUUCUCUGUCUCACACUCAUACAUACAUGCAAAGACUGCAAAGCUGUUUUUGCUGGA